rnacentral:rRNA from 1 species
UACGUAGGGUGCAAGCGUUUAAUCGGAAUUACUGGGCGUAAAGCGUGCGCAGGCGGUUGUGCAAGACCGAUGUGAAAUCCCCGGGCUUAACCUGGGAAUGGCAUUGGUGACUGCACGGCUAGAGUGUGUCAGAGGGGGGUAGAAUUCCACGUGUAGCAGUGAAAUGCGUAGAGAUGUGGAGGAAUACCGAUGGCGAAGGCAGCCCCCCUGGGAUAACACUGACGCUCAUGCACGAAAGCGUGGGGAGCAAACAGG